rnacentral:other from 1 species
AACACCAAGGACUUGGUGAACUUCAGGAAGAAGAAACGGUUAUUCAGGAUGAAUAGUCGGGCAUGGAUUGCAAAAUUGGACAUUGAACGGAAUCAAUAGUGACUAGGAUGGUUGCUGCUAAGGACGGGAAAUGGACACCUCUGGACGAGGCAAGGAUUUGAACAUCAGGAUGAUGUCAGGGACACCGCUCAGGGAACAAGUGAUGAGAGCUAACGAGGAUAGUUAGCAGACCGGGAUAAGGUCAUUAAGGACACCGCUAGGAAGGCGACGUAAGGAUUAAGCUGACGGAUUCAGCACACUAUAAUGGAUUAGAUGCAUGGAGCACUCUUAGUAGCCGGAUUGCUGCGAGUAAGACUAUAACCCCGAUGGGCGCAAGCCCUCGGGGUUUUUCUUUG